rnacentral:rRNA from 1 species
ACAUCAGUCGCCGCGGUAAUACAGAGGGUGCGAGCGUUAAUCGGAUUUACUGGGCGUAAAGCGUGCGUAGGCGGCUAAUUGAGUCGGAUGUGAAAUCCCCGAGCUUAACUUGGGAAUUGCAUUCGAUACUGGUUAGCUAGAGUGUGGGAGAGGAUGGUAGAAUUCCAGGUGUAGCGGUGAAAUGCGUAGAGAUCUGGAGGAAUACCGAUGGCGAAGGCAGCCAUCUGGCCUAAUACUGACGCUGAUGUACGAAAGCAUGGGGAGCAAACAGGAUUAGAUACCCGGGUAGUCCCUGUCUCUUAUAC